rnacentral:rRNA from 1 species
UACGAAGGGUGCAAACGUUGCUCGGAAUUAUUGGGCGUAAAGCGCGUGUAGGCGGCUUUUGCAAGUCGGGUGUGAAAGCCCUCAGCUUAACUGAGGAAGUGCGCCCGAAACUGCAUUGCUUGAGUACCGGAGAGGAUGGCGGAAUUCCCAAGUAGAGGUGAAAUUCGUAGAUAUGGGGAGGAACACCGGUGGCGAAGGCGGCCAUCUGGACGGAUACGUGACGCUGAGACGCGAAAGCGUGGGUAGCAAACGAGG